rnacentral:lncRNA from 1 species
AGAUGGUUUAGUUUGUUUUCCUUUUCCGCUGCAUUUCGAUAGAUAAUUGUUUUUAUUUGUUUUUAAGUCGUGAAACUUGUGUAUUAAUUUGUCAUAGUGUGUACUCAGGCUGAUACCUGGACCGAGAUUUAAUACAUGCUAUUGUUCAGAAAUUUGGUGUAAAUUUCUGGGCGUGACAGUCAGCUAGGGCAGCGGUGGCUUGGGCACAUGAGGCGUGUGGCGUGGGGCUAGGCAUAGGAAACAAAUGGGAAAAAAGGUUUGGG